rnacentral:rRNA from 1 species
UACAGAGGUCUCAAGCGUUGUUCGGAUUCAUUGGGCGUAAAGGGUGCGUAGGCGGCUCGUCGCGUCGACCGUGAAAACCCGCGGCUUAACUGCGGGCUUGCGGUUGAUACGGGCGGGCUAGAGUUCGGUAGGGGAGACUGGAAUUCCUGGUGUAGCGGUGAAAUGCGCAGAUAUCGGGAAGAACACCCGUGGCGAAGGCGGCUCUCUGGGACGGUACUGACGCUGAGACGCGAAAGCGUGGGGAGCGAACAGG